ACUGCUAUCGGGAUAGGACUAAGACAUGCUAGUCAAGCGCUCGCCAGCCAAAGGUGAGUGCGGCGCACAGCUCAGUAACACGUGGCUAACCUGCCCUUGGGACGGGGACACCCCCGGGAAACUGGGGUUAAUCCCCGAUAGGUGAAGACCUCUGGAAUGAAUCUCCGCCCAAAAGGCGCUUGCGCUAUGUUCGUAGGUGUCGCCCAAGGAUGGGGCCGCGACCGAUCAGGUUGUUGGUGAGGUAAUGGCUCACCAAGCCUUUUACCGGUGCGGGCCGUGGGAGCGGGAGCCCGGAGAUGGGCACUGAGACAAGGGCCCAGGCCCUACGGGGCGCAGCAGUCGCGAAAACUUUGCAAUACACGAAAGUGUGACAGGGCUAUCCCGAGUGCCAUCCGCUGAGGAAGGCUUUUACCCAGUUUAGAACGCUGGGAGAAUAAGGAGAGGGCAAGACUGGUGUCAGCCGCCGCGGUAAUACCAGCUCUCCGAGUGGUGUGGAUGUUUAUUGGGCCUAAAGCAUCCGUAGCUGGCUGGACAAGUACCCUGUUAAAUCCACCGAUUUAAUCGUUGGAAUGCGGGGGAUACUGCUCGGCUAGGGGACGGGAGAGGCAGACGGUAUUUCCGGGGUAGGGGUGAAAUCCUAUAAUCCCGGGAAGACCACCAGUGGCGAAGGCUGUCUGCUAGAACGUGCCCGACGGUGAGGGAUGAAAGCUGGGGGAGCGAACCGGAUUAGAUACCCGGGUAGUCCCAGCUGUAAACGAUGCAGGCUAGGUGUUUGGGCGGCCACGUGCCGCUCUAGUGCCGCAGGGAAGCGUUAAGCCUGCCGCCUGGGGAGUACGGCCGCAAGGCUGAAACUUAAAGGAAUUGGCGGGGGAGCACCACAAGGGGUGAAG
rnacentral:rRNA from 1 species